AGUGGCGUGGAGCCGGUUGAAGAGGCUGGCACUGGGCAGGCGAGCGGACCGUCGAGGAAGCUGGCGUCGGAGGUUGUGGAGGGGCGACGGGAUGCCGGACGGACAGGGGUGUUGAGGACAGGGGGCCCCUGGCUCUGCGGACGUCGGGGUGGGGACGCAGAGCCUGCGGAGAGCCUUGCUUUGCAGGUCAAGUAUCUCGAAGAGCCAUCAUCCUCAUGGAGGCUCCCCUGUCCUGGAGGGGCACUCUACUGCAGGUCCAGCCACGUGUAGUGGUAUCUGUGGUAGUGACGACACUCCAAGGAAUGUUUGGCAAGCAUCGGUUACAGAAUGUUCACAGAGGGAUUCUAGGGUUCUGGAGCAUGGCCAUCCCUUCUGCGGCAGAACCCCUCACUCCUGGGAUGAAUCGCGGCUGAACCCUAGUCAAUCCUGAACGCCUCUGAAUGUGAGACAUCAAGGGGCCACACAGCCAGAAAUGCCCAUCAUGCUUUUGGUGCGGUUAGACCCUUGGCAGAUCGGGUCCCGUAUUGGAUGGUGUGGCAGCCAUUACUUGUACCUUGGAAGAGGCACGUUGAGGAAUCGAGCUGAGAAGGUCCAGAACACCCAGGAAUGCUGUUCACUCGGUCUGCCUGUAUGUCAGACGCUGGUUUACCACGAAGAUGAAGUUGCUGUGCGGAGCGGUUUUCCCAGGAGGUAAUCUCUACCCACAGCGUGGGUAUGAACUCAACGACCCCCAGAUCAAGAGUCGCACGCUCCAAUGACUGGGACAGCCAGGCGGCCCUCAACAUCGUUUUUUCAACUGCAGCGCACGGACAGUGUUGUGUUAGUGUCAGGAAUACGCAAGUCUGUAUCUCAUGCUGUGCACACAAGUGUAGCGGCCCUGUUACACUUGUUACAAUGCCGCUGUGUUCCCUAUGCUGUCCCUCUCAUCCCUGUGACUCUCUCCAGGGCUGGAGGCCUGACCUCCCCCCCCCUCCCCUUCACCCAUUCUGCCCCUCCCACCCCUCCCUUCCAGCAACCAUGCUUGUUGGUGUUCUGCAUUUAUGGGUUUGUUUCUGUUUUAGUUUGUUCAUUUGUUUUAUUUAGAUUCCACAUAUAAGUGAAAUCAUAUGGUCUUUGUCUUUCUCUUAGUUCGCUUAGUACUCUUUAGGUGCAUCUAUUUUGUUACAAAUGGCAAGAUCUCAUUCUUCUUUCUCUUUUGCUCUCAACUUUUUUUUUUUUUUUUUAAACAGUGAGAGAGGACAAGAGCUGGGGAGGGGGGCAGAGUGAAAGUAUCUUAAGCAAGCUCAAUGCUCAUCACAGAGCCCAACUCAGGGCUCGAUCCCACAACCCUGGGAUCAUGACCUGAGUGAAAUUAAGAGUCGGGUGCUCAACCUACUGAGCCACCCAGGUGCCCCUGCCCUCAACUUCCAAGAGGUGACCUACAUCACACCUGAUGAGAAUGUCUUUGUUUUGGUGCCUCUGGUUAUACCCAACUAGUCUUAGGGCAGGAACUGGCUACACAACAAAGUCCAACCCAGGUGAUUCGGGGUGGGUGCUUUGGGUCAUGAUCUGAUAAUGAGAUUAGCAUGGAGACAAUUAGUCAAUCAUGCCUGGAUGAUCAAUCAUUCAGUCAACCAACCAGGCCUGUGAAAACUCUGGGCGUUUGGCAAUACUCUAUGCAUAUUGUCCUACGUCCCUGUGACAGGGAAUCCAGUCCUAACUCCAUGGGGAGAGGACACUGGACACUGGAAGCUUGUUAAUCUGCAUCCUUCCCCUGUAAUUAACUGUAACUAUGAGAACAGUUCUCAGUGAAUCCUAGGAAUGCUUCCAGUCCUGAUUUAUUGAACCUGAAAGUCAUUUCGGGAAAGUCCUGAACUUGGAGUUGGUGUCAGGGCUGAAGGUAACCCUGCGUGGAUCCCGUGCCCUCGAAUCUGUUCUGGCCUCUAGAUGGGGUGAGGUUGGUCAAGACACGGCAGGUGGAUACAGUGAAGGAAAGGCCACCGUGUUCAGCACUGAGUCCAGAAAAGCUGACUGCAUCGAGUACGAUGUAAAAGAG